ensembl:lncRNA
CCAAAAUGAACAACAACAACAACAACAAAAAAGACAAUAAAAGUAGACCAUACUAAUAUGAUAAGUCAUAUGGGCGUCAUAUGAUAGCUUUGUGUGAGAAAAGGGUGAAAUUUCAGACAUAUUUCACUGAAAAUCUCAAAUACUAAACGCAUUAUGUCACAUGGCUCCCACUGAAGCAAUUUGAUUGGCUACCAAUGACAUCACUGUCAAUUUAAUAGGCGCAUGUUUUGGGAGGAGCCUAAUCAUCCAGUCCUGUCAAUCAUUGCUACGAAUGUAUAUAAGCAGCAGUCAUUGCUCCGUUCCAGUGGCAAUUCUUCCAGCAUCUCUCCACCACCCCUUCUCCUCCUCUAAUUCUUUCUCUUUUUUCUCCAUACUGUUUCAUUAUAGGGUGGGUUCUUACUCUGAGCUCAAGCCAAGCCUCGGGUUUCGAGCCUCCUUCAUGGAAAGCAAGCCAAGUUUAUUUACCAUUACCUGCCAGGAUUGAAUGGGCAGGUGAACUCGUGAAAUGGAUAUCUGGACUGAAGAAUAAGAUUUGUGAACCUUAAUGGAAGACAACAUUUUCAAUAUACAGGACAUAAUAUGAGAAGCACCAACAUGCUAUAGUUGCUCAGAGGAGUACAAGCCAGUACAGGGAUAUAGAAACUGUCCAGAACACUGAUGUCCACUUACAGAACUUAUUUCUAUGGAUACAGUUUGUACUAAAAGGAAUAAAGAAUGUACGAAGGGUUUGAAACUACAAAAUGGAUUUUGUUGUACUGACCCAGACAGGACGCUGUCCUCAUUCCUCUGACCUAUAGAGACACGCUUGUCAUAGCAUGAUCAUUAUGUGUCCAAGCAUCUGCUUCCUUCACCAGAAAGGGAAAUGUACACAGAGAAAGAGAUUUCCAAACCAGUGUAGAAGCCCACUGGGUUUGAUAGCCCACUUUAUCACUGGCUGUUGGCAACGUCACCACAUAUUGUUUCCUGGAAAGAGAACAAGCACAGACAUUGAAUACACAGGCCUCCAUCUGUGAACAAGGUCAACACCGAUCUGGUAAUAGUAGGAUUAGACCCAUCUAGUUUGGGUGAUUUAUUCUGCUGUUGCCCUUCCAUAUAUACACACAUUCAACAUACUGUUGACAUUAUGUGUUUAUUGACAUUGUGGGUUUAUAUGUGGCAAUGGCAAAACCAGAUCCAGCACUGUUUGAGAGAGUUUUUAUUGGAAAAUCAUGAAAUAUUACUUCAUUUAUGCCAUAAAAUCUUUGGUUCAAUUAUCCAAUCUACUAUUUCCAGGUUUAAGAUGUAUGAACUCCAUGAAACUGUAAAUACCGG